GCGCCCGUAGCUCAGUCGGAUAGAGCAACGGCCUUCUAAGCCGUGGGUCGAGGGUUCGAAUCCUUCCGGGCGUACCA
rnacentral:tRNA from 1 species